UUUUAUUAGAUUGCGUAAAGCAGUAUUUAUAUAUGGUUCAAUUGUUGUAAGAGAUGUAAACAAAGUCAUUCAGAGUGGUUUGAUGUGAAAUAGUGCAUCGUAGAGUGAAAUACUGUGUAUGUACUGUGAUUUCUUUAUAGUCGUGGUGGUGAUAGGAGCCAGGGGUCAUAACGUCAACAACACAGAUUUCUCAGUCUGAGCAUGCUCAAAAACAGACCGCAGUGCUGGAAAACAGCAAGCAACGUUGUCGCAAGACGGCAGUAAAGCACUUUUGGAGUGAUGCUGAAACCAAAUACGUGGUUGAAGAAAUGAAAGAUUUAAAUAUUCUUCAUCUUCCAGAAGUCAGGUAGCAUUUUCAGGACCAGAUGUCUGGUUCCUGUCACCACAG